CGUCAAGUCAGGAUGGCCCUUACGGCCAGGGCUGCACACGUACUACAAUGCCCGGUACAGAGGGACGCUACGCCGCGAGGCGAUGCAAAUCUCAAAAACCGGGCCCAGUUCAGAUUGUAGUCUGCAACUCGACUACAUGAAGUUGGAAUCGCUAGUAAUGGCGCAUCAGCUACGGCGCCGUGAAUACGUUCCCGGGCCUU
rnacentral:rRNA from 1 species